AUUGAACGCUGGCGGCAUGCCUUACACAUGCAAGUCGAACGGUAACGGGCCUUCGGGUGCCGACGAGUGGCGAACGGGUGAGUAAUGUAUCGGAACGUACCUUUCAGUGGGGGAUAACGUAGCGAAAGUUACGCUAAUACCGCAUACGAUCUAUGGAUGAAAGCGGGGGAUCGCAAGACCUCGCGCGAUUGGAGCGGCCGAUGUCAGAUUAGGUAGUUGGUGGGGUAAAGGCCUACCAAGCCGACGAUCUGUAGCUGGUCUGAGAGGACGACCAGCCACACUGGGACUGAGACACGGCCCAGACUCCUACGGGAGGCAGCAGUGGGGAAUUUUGGACAAUGGGCGCAAGCCUGAUCCAGCCAUUCCGCGUGCAGGAUGAAGGCCUUCGGGUUGUAAACUGCUUUUGUACGGAACGAAAAGGCUCUGGUUAAUACCCGGGGCUCAUGACGGUACCGUAAGAAUAAGCACCGGCUAACUACGUG
rnacentral:rRNA from 1 species